rnacentral:rRNA from 1 species
UACGUAGGUGGCAAGCGUUGUCCGGAAUUAUUGGGCGUAAAGCGCGCGCAGGCGGUUUCUUAAGUCUGAUGUGAAAGCCCACGGCUUAACCGUGGAAGGUCAUUGGAAACUGGGAGACUUGAGUGCAGAAGAGAAGAGCGGAAUUCCACGUGUAGCGGUGAAAUGCGUAGAGAUGUGGAGGAACACCAGAGGCGAAGGCGGCUCUUUGGUCUGUAACUGACGCUGAGGCGCGAAAGCGUGGGGAUCAAACAGG